UACAGAGGGGGCAAGCGUUGUUCGGAAUUACUGGGCGUAAAGGGCGCGCAGGCGGCCUGCUAAGUCGAACGUGAAAUCCCCGGGCUUAACCCGGGAACUGCGUCCGAUACUGGUUGGCUUGAAUUCGGGAGAGGGAUGCGGAAUUCCAGGUGUAGCGGUGAAAUGCGUAGAGAUGUGGAGGAAUACCGAUGGCGAAGGCAGCCCCCUGGGCCAAUACUGACGCUCAUGCACGAAAGCGUGGGGAGCAAACAGG
rnacentral:rRNA from 1 species